rnacentral:rRNA from 1 species
GGUUAAGCGACUAAGCGUACACGGUGGAUGCCCUGGCAGUCAGAGGCGAUGAAGGGCGUGCUAAUCUGCGAUAAGCGCCGGUAAGGUGAUAUGAACCGUUAUAACCGGCGAUACCCGAAUGGGGAAACCCAGUGUGAUUCGUCACACUAUCAUUAACUGAAUCCAUAGGUUAAUGAGGCGAACCGGGGGAACUGAAACAUCUAAGUACCCCGAGGAAAAGAAAUCAACCGAGAUUCCCCCAGUAGCGGCGAGCGAACGGGGAGGAGCCCAGAGCCUGAAUCAGCAUGUGUGUUAGUGGAAGCGUCUGGAAAGACGCGCGAUACAGGGUGACAGCCCCGUACACAAAAGCGUAUGUGCUGUGAGCUCGAUGAGUAGGGCGGGACACGUGGUAUCCUGUCUGAAUAUGGGGGGACCAUCCUCCAAGGCUAAAUACUCCUGACUGACCGAUAGUGAACCAGUACCGUGAGGGAAAGGCGAAAAGAACCCCGGCGAGGGGAGUGAAAAAGAACCUGAAACCGUGUACGUACAAGCAGUGGGAGCACAGGUUUACCUGUGUGACUGCGUACCUUUUGUAUAAUGGGUCAGCGACUUAUAUUCUGUAGCAAGGUUAACCGAAUAGGGGAGCCGGAGGGAAACCGAGUCUUAAUUGGGCGUUAAGUUGCAGGGUAUAGACCCGAAACCCGGUGAUCUAGCCAUGGGCAGGUUGAAGGUUGGGUAACACUAACUGGAGGACCGAACCGACUAAUGUUGAAAAAUUAGCGGAUGACCUGUGGCUGGGGGUGAAAGGCCAAUCAAACCGGGAGAUAGCUGGUUCUCCCCGAAAGCUAUUUAGGUAGCGCCUCGUGAAUUCAUCUCCGGGGGUAGAGCACUGUUUCGGCUAGGGGGUCAUCCCGACUUACCAACCCGAUGCAAACUGCGAAUACCGGAGAAUGUUAUCACGGGAGACACACGGCGGGUGCUAACGUCCGUCGUGAAGAGGGAAACAACCCAGACCGCCAGCUAAGGUCCCAAAGUCAUGGUUAAGUGGGAAACGAUGUGGGAAGGCCCAGACAGCCAGGAUGUUGGCUUAGAAGCAGCCAUCAUUUAAAGAAAGCGUAAUAGCUCACUGGUCGAGUCGGCCUGCGCGGAAGAUGUAACGGGGCUAAACCAUGCACCGAAGCUGCGGCAGCGACACUGUGUGUUGUUGGGUAGGGGAGCGUUCUGUAAGCCUGUGAAGGUGGCCUGUGAGGGUUGCUGGAGGUAUCAGAAGUGCGAAUGCUGACAUAAGUAACGAUAAAGCGGGUGAAAAGCCCGCUCGCCGGAAGACCAAGGGUUCCUGUCCAACGUUAAUCGGGGCAGGGUGAGUCGACCCCUAAGGCGAGGCCGAAAGGCGUAGUCGAUGGGAAACGGGUUAAUAUUCCCGUACUUGGUGUUACUGCGAAGGGGGGACGGAGAAGGCUAUGUUGGCCGGGCGACGGUUGUCCCGGUUUAAGCGUGUAGGUGUGUGUUCCAGGUAAAUCCGGUUCACUUUAACACUGAGGCGUGAUGACGAGGCACUACGGUGCUGAAGCAACAAAUGCCCUGCUUCCAGGAAAAGCCUCUAAGCAUCAGGUAACAUCAAAUCGUACCCCAAACCGACACAGGUGGUCAGGUAGAGAAUACCAAGGCGCUUGAGAGAACUCGGGUGAAGGAACUAGGCAAAAUGGUGCCGUAACUUCGGGAGAAGGCACGCUGACACGUAGGUGAAGUGAUUUACUCAUGGAGCUGAAGUCAGUCGAAGAUACCAGCUGGCUGCAACUGUUUAUUAAAAACACAGCACUGUGCAAACACGAAAGUGGACGUAUACGGUGUGACGCCUGCCCGGUGCCGGAAGGUUAAUUGAUGGGGUCAGCGCAAGCGAAGCUCCUGAUCGAAGCCCCGGUAAACGGCGGCCGUAACUAUAACGGUCCUAAGGUAGCGAAAUUCCUUGUCGGGUAAGUUCCGACCUGCACGAAUGGCGUAAUGAUGGCCAGGCUGUCUCCACCCGAGACUCAGUGAAAUUGAACUCGCUGUGAAGAUGCAGUGUACCCGCGGCAAGACGGAAAGACCCCGUGAACCUUUACUAUAGCUUGACACUGAACAUUGAGCCUUGAUGUGUAGGAUAGGUGGGAGGCUUUGAAGUGUGGACGCCAGUCUGCAUGGAGCCGACCUUGAAAUACCACCCUUUAAUGUUUGAUGUUCUAACGUGGACCCGUAAUCCGGGUUGCGGACAGUGUCUGGUGGGUAGUUUGACUGGGGCGGUCUCCUCCUAAAGAGUAACGGAGGAGCACGAAGGUUGGCUAAUCCUGGUCGGACAUCAGGAGGUUAGUGCAAUGGCAUAAGCCAGCUUGACUGCGAGCGUGACGGCGCGAGCAGGUGCGAAAGCAGGUCAUAGUGAUCCGGUGGUUCUGAAUGGAAGGGCCAUCGCUCAACGGAUAAAAGGUACUCCGGGGAUAACAGGCUGAUACCGCCCAAGAGUUCAUAUCGACGGCGGUGUUUGGCACCUCGAUGUCGGCUCAUCACAUCCUGGGGCUGAAGUAGGUCCCAAGGGUAUGGCUGUUCGCCAUUUAAAGUGGUACGCGAGCUGGGUUUAGAACGUCGUGAGACAGUUCGGUCCCUAUCUGCCGUGGGCGCUGGAGAACUGAGGGGGGCUGCUCCUAGUACGAGAGGACCGGAGUGGACGCAUCACUGGUGUUCGGGUUGUCAUGCCAAUGGCACUGCCCGGUAGCUAAAUGCGGAAGAGAUAAGUGCUGAAAGCAUCUAAGCACGAAACUUGCCCCGAGAUGAGUUCUCCCUGAGACUUAGAGUCUCCUGAAGGAACGUUGAAGACGACGACGUUGAUAGGCCGGGUGUGUAAGCGCAGCGAUGCGUUGAGCUAACCGGUACUAAUGAACCGUGAGGCUUAACCUU